GAGGGAGGUGGAGAAAGGUUGGAGGGGAACCACUGGCAAAGAAGUUGUUUCAUACUGAGCUGUUUGUAUUCACUGAGAGUCACUGCACCUGUGUUUCAGAACUGGUUACUCACAGUCCAACUGGCUAUUUGUCAACGCUGUCAUGUCUGCAGUUCGUGCAGCAAUCAGCAGGAGAGAAGCAGAAGUGGACCUGCUAGACUCAAAACAACAAUAACUCAGAGCAAAGGAUUUGUGUUUGGUGAGUUCCUGCCUCCAUCUUGAGACGAAAGAAAUCUUUGUACAACAAACUUACCUACCUGGAAUGAAGGGCUGACAGCAAGCUGACUGGUGUGGACAAAGGUGGCUGGAUGAAAUUUUGUAUGGCAUGGAAAGAAGACAUCGUGUUCUAACCGGUGUCCUGCUUUAUGUUGAAGUAUUGGCCUACACUGCUCCUCAUACCUAACUCCAUCUGAUUCCAGAGGAUGUCUUGACCAUCAAAUCUGGAGUGUCCCUUGCUGGUACGUUGGCGAUUUAUAAUACUUUAAGUUAUUUUUUUGUAAGCGUUGUUCAGUGUUGUUUCUAACCCACACCAUUUGGUGCAUACCUGAUGUUUUGCUCAUGGUUCUUGUGAUAUGGUGUUAUUGAAGGGUAGGAAGGUCAAGAGGCUGUAUAGAAAUGCAUAUUUUAUAAAAUAGUUGCACUGAGGAUAUUUAUAAACUACAAAUUGUUUUUUCAUUAUUAAACCGCAGUCAUAUGUUGCAUUCUGUAAAGGUGUGAUUUAAUAUGAUUUCACACGCCCCUGGACUUUUUUUUUACAAUAUUUACCUGAAGACGUCUGAUUUUUGUGUCUUUGGAACAUCGCCGUCUACUCGAUCCUUUUGCAAUAUACAAAUGUUCACCUUGUGGUGUUGGAACAUUUUUUGUGGUAAAUUAUUGAAAAUACAGCCUGAAUUUAGAUUUGUAAACCAAAUGUGUUUACAGAAAUCAAAGUGUU